rnacentral:lncRNA from 1 species
CCCUAAGAAUGGGUACUGCUGGCAUUGGGCAGAGUACUAACCAGUAACUUACAUGAAGCUCAGGCAAUUUUGUAAUAAUUCUUCCAACUGUCUGACUCAAUAGCAGCCUUUGGAAGGGUAUUUUUUAUCUAUGACAGUUGCAGCUUUCAAUCCUAGAUUGGAUUUCUCCCUGUCCUCCCAGAAGAUGUUUUAGUGAUGUACCAGCUUUAGCAUAUGAUUGGACUACAGUUACCUGUUUUGAGGAGUCAGUGUUUGGCAGAUAGAUGGCAGAGCUCUUGCAUAUGGCAUGCUCAUCACGAGAAGAAAAUGAGAGGACAACUUGGACCACCUUCUUCAAAAUGGGGGACCAUGGAGGAACUACAUUCAUUUAUUAAUAUAUAAACUUAUUCAUUUGUCACAUAUUUGCAAUGGGUCCACUGUAUCAUAGGCACUUCACCAGACACUUAGGAUGUGGCAGUGAAUAAUGCAUAAUCAUCCUCUUGAGAAUGUCACAAUCUAGUACUUCCUUGGAGGUCUUCCUGGAAAAAUACAGUCAUAUGUUUUCUAAGAAAAGUCCAGAAAUUUGCUAGACUAUAUAGACACCUUCUAAGUAGCGUAUGUAUGUUGUUUUGAAGGAAUAGACUUUUCCUUACCAAAUGCAAGUAUGACUGCUUAUGUUAGGAGUGAGUUUUGUAUUUAUUACCUCUUUCUUUUACAGGAAGCAUAACAGUGAUAAUUCAUUCAUCCAAGGAAUGAACCCGUGAUUUUUCUUAUUCUCUUGUGUUGGGCCAAACUAGAGAGACAAAACUGUUGUCAGAAAGCUAGCCAGGUUAGGAGCAACCUAAUUACAUGGGCAAGGCAAGGACACAAGGAUGGAUUAGGUAUAAAGUCAGCAAGGAAGUGAUAUGGGUAAAUGGAGUGAAGAAGGAAAAACCUUACAGUAGCAGGUGAGGUAAGGAGUUUAGGAAAUGGAGGAAAGGAACAUGUGGCCGGAUAUGGAUGAAUCUGCCAUGGCUGGAGGGACUCAUAAAAGUUACUAAGCAUGUCAUUCACUAAAUCCUUCCUGAGCCAAAUCACACCAUUCAGAAGAACUCAGAAUGAGUCUAAUAUCUAUACCAAAACGGAAAUAUUUUUAGUUGUUUCAUCUGAAUUUAUACCAAGAUUUUUAUCUUUUAUAUGAGUAAAUUAAUCAAUAGCAGGUUAAAUCAAGAAAUAUUUACUGGGAACUUCUCUGUUUAAGAGCCUUGGGUUUCAAAGAUAAUAAGAGUUUGGAUUUUUCUAAGUUGAAUCAAAGUUUUGGGGCAGAUAUUGCCUUUGGGGAAUUUACAGAAUGAUAGCAAAUAUGACAUACACAAGAAUGACUGCAGAACUUAAGCCCUGAGAAAGUGAUGUCUAAUAAUCUGUGGGGGUUCAAAUAAAACAAUGAUCACUGCAGUUGAGAAUCUCA